GCGGAUGUGGCGGAAUUGGCAGACGCGCUGGAUUUAGGUUCCAGUCUGAGAGGGUGCAGGUUCAAGUCCUGUCAUCCGCA
rnacentral:tRNA from 1 species